UGGGGAAUUUUGGACAAUGGGGGCAACCCUGAUCCAGCCAUGCCGCGUGAGUGAAGAAGGCCUUCGGGUUGUAAAGCUCUUUCGGCGGGGAAGAAAUGGCAACGGCUAAUAUCUGUUGUUGAUGACGGUACCCGCAUAAGAAGCACCGGCUAACUACGUGCCAGCAGCCGCGGUAAUACGUAGGGUGCGAGCGUUAAUCGGAAUUACUGGGCGUAAAGCGUGCGCAGGCGGUUUCGUAAGACAGACGUGAAAUCCCCGGGCUCAACCUGGGAACUGCGUUUGUGACUGCGAGGCUAGAGUACGGCAGAGGGGGGUAGAAUUCCACGUGUAGCAGUGAAAUGCGUAGAGAUGUGGAGGAAUACCGAUGGCGAAGGCAGCCCCCUGGGUUAGUACUGACGCUCAUGCACGAAAGCGUGGGGAGCAAACA
rnacentral:rRNA from 1 species